rnacentral:rRNA from 1 species
AGCGAACGCUGGCGGCAGGCCUAACACAUGCAAGUCGAACGAACUCUUCGGAGUUAGUGGCGGACGGGUGAGUAACACGUGGGAACGUGCCUUUAGGUUCGGAAUAACUCAGGGAAACUUGUGCUAAUACCGACUGUGCCCUUCGGGGGAAAGAUUUAUCGCCUUUAGAGCGGCCCGCGUCCGAUUAGCUAGUUGGUGAGGUAAAGGCUCACCACGGCGACGAUCAGUAGCUGGUCUGAGAGGCUGAUCAGCCACAUUGGGACUGAGACACGGCCCAAACUCCUACGGGAGGCAGCAGUGGGGAAUCUUGCGCAAUGGGCGAAAGCCUGACGCAGCCAUGCCGCGUGAAUGAUGAAGGUCUUAGGAUUGUAAAAUUCUUUCACCGGGGACGAUAAUGACGGUACCCGGAGAAGAAGCCCCGGCUAACUUCGUG